UUGGCUCAGGAUGAACGCUGGCGGCAGGCUUAACACAUGCAAGUCGAGGGGCAGCAUGGGCAUAGCAAUAUGCCUGAUGGCGACCGGCGCACUGGUGAGUAACACGUAUGCAACCUGCCCCGUACAGGGGGAUAAUCCAGAGAAAUUUGGUCUAAUACCCCGUAGUCCCCGAGAGGGCAUCCUCCCGGGGGGAAAGCUCCGGCGGUACGGGAUGGGCAUGCGGCGCAUUAGCUUGUUGGCGGGGCGACGGCCCACCAAGGCGACGAUGCGUAGGGGUUCUGAGAGGAAGGUCCCCCACACUGGUACUGAGACACGGACCAGACUCCUACGGGAGGCAGCAGUGGGGAAUA
rnacentral:rRNA from 1 species